rnacentral:rRNA from 1 species
CCUACGGGUGGCUGCAGUGAGGAAUAUUGCGCAAUGGGGGCAACCCUGACGCAGCAACGCCGCGUGAGUGAGGAAGGUUUUCGGACCGUAAAGCUCUGUCGAGCGGGAAGAAAUGCAUGGUGGCUAAUAUCCAUCAUGCUUGACGGUACCGCUAAAGGAAGCACCGGCUAACUCCGUGCCAGCAGCCGCGGUAAUACGGGGGGUGCGAGCGCGGAUCGGGCGUGUUGGGCGUAGAGAGCGUGAGAUGUGAAAGCCCUGGGCUUAACCCAGUACUUGCAUUUGAAACUAUUCGGCUAGAGUAGGGGAGAGGAAAGUGGAAUUCCUGGUGUAGAGGUGAAAUUCGUAGAUAUCAGGAGGAACACCGGUGGCGAAGGCGACUUUCUGGCCCUAUACUGACGCUGAGACGCGAGAGCGUGGGUAGCAAACAGGAUUAGAUACCCCUGUAGUC